AACGAACGCUGGCGGCGCGUCUUAAGCAUGCAAGUCGAACGGCAAGAGAGGAGCUUGCUUCUCUCCUAGAGUGGCGGACUGGUGAGGAACACGUGGGUAAUCUACCCUUAAGAUGGGGAUAGCUGCUAGAAAUAGCAGGUAAUACCGAAUACACUCGGCAUAUCACAAGAGGUGUUGAGGAAAGGAAGCUACGGCUUCGCUUGAGGAUGAGCUUGCGUCCCAUUAGCUAGUUGGUGAGGUAAAGGCCCACCAAGGCGACGAUGGGUAUCCGGCCUGAGAGGGUGAACGGACACAUUGGGACUGAGAUACGGCCCAAACUCCUACGGGAGGCAGCAGCUAAGAAUAUUCCGCAAUGGACGGAAGUCUGACGGAGCGACGCCGCGUGGAUGAAGAAGGCUGAAAAGUUGUAAAAUCCUUUUGUUGAUGAAGAAUAAGGGUGAGAGGGAAUGCUCAUCUGAUGACGGUAAUCGACGAAUAAGCCCCGGCUAAUUACGUGCCAGCAGCCGCGGUAACACGUAAGGGGCGAGCGUUGUUCGGAAUUAUUGGGCGUAAAGGGCAUGUAGGCGGCUAUGUAAGCCUGAUGUGAAAUCCUGGGGCUUAACCCUAGAAUAGCAUUGGGUACUGUAUAGCUUGAAUUACGGAAGGGAAACUGGAAUUCCAAGUGUAGGGGUGGAAUCUGUAGAUAUUUGGAAGAACACCGGUGGCGAAGGCGGGUUUCUGGCCGAUAAUUGACGCUGAGAUGCGAAAGUGUGGGGAUCGAACAGG
rnacentral:rRNA from 1 species